UACGGAGGGUGCGAGCGUUGUUCGGAAUUAUUGGGCGUAAAGGGCGCGUAGGCGGCGCCACAAGUCACUUGUGAAAACUCUGGGCUCAACUCAGAGCCUGCAAGCGAAACUGUGGUGCUGGAGUAUGGGAGAGGUGCGUGGAAUUCCCAGUGUAGAGGUGAAAUUCGUAGAUAUUGGGAAGAACACCGGUGGCGAAGGCGGCGACCUGGUCCGAUACUGACGCUGAGGCGCGAAAGCGUGGGAAGCAAACAGG
rnacentral:rRNA from 1 species